UAGAGAUGAAGAGCCAGAAUCACAGGCUACCCCUGGGUCGGGACCCGGUCUACGAUGAAGUUGAAACCAACGUCAAUGGAGCACCAGACGAUGACGCGGUCAAGCUCUUCAAUUGGUGGCUCCGGAUCAGAACCCACUAUCAUGUUAACGACACGCAGGUCCGGUCGAUCCUGUUGGAUAACUUUAUCGGCAUCAUCACAAAGCUUGUGUAACAAGUCUGGCCACGAUUGCCGCUCUGGAAUACCCGACAUAGCUCUCCCGAAUCCGCUGCGAAUUAACAAGAGUAAAAGCAAUUGAACAACACAUGCAGCAGAGAUCAGUAGAGACAGGAUUCAAUUCUUCUCCUAAAAAAAUGUUGGCAUUAACUUCAUACAUAGGUUUCGGAACUAUGCUAACAUCGUACAUGAUGAAAGUAUACCAAGUAAACGAGCAAAAAAGGUGCUUGAUCGGAAAGCACUAUUAUGAGGUUAAUAUAUAACAUAUGCAAUUAAUCAACAGUAAGGGGAAACACCUGCAAACAAGCACGAAAGGGCAAAGUUGAAUCAGGAGCUGGCUGCACUACUG
rnacentral:lncRNA from 1 species